rnacentral:rRNA from 1 species
AGGAGAGUUUGAUCAUGGCUCAGAUUGAACGCUGGCGGCAGGCCUAACACAUGCAAGUCGAACGGUAGCAGGAUGUGCUUGCACAUCGCUGACGAGUGGCGGACGGGUGAGUAAUGCUUGGGAACUUGCCUUUGUGAGGGGGAUAACAGUUGGAAACGACUGCUAAUACCGCAUAAUGUCUACGGACCAAACGGGGCUUUUAGCUCCGGCGCAAAGAGAGGCCCAAGUGAGAUUAGCUAGUUGGUGAGGUAAAGGCUCACCAAGGCGACGAUCUCUAGCUGUUCUGAGAGGAAGAUCAGCCACACUGGGACUGAGACACGGCCCAGACUCCUACGGGAGGCAGCAGUGGGGAAUAUUGCACAAUGGGGGAAACCCUGAUGCAGCCAUGCCGCGUGUGUGAAGAAGGCCUUCGGGUUGUAAAGCACUUUCAGUUGUGAGGAAAGGUUGGUAGUUAAUACCUGCCAGCUGUGACGUUAACAACAGAAGAAGCACCGGCUAACUCCGUGCCAGCAGCCGCGGUAAUACGGAGGGUGCGAGCGUUAAUCGGAAUUACUGGGCGUAAAGCGCACGCAGGCGGUUUGUUAA